AGUGAACGCUGGCGGCAGGCCUAACACAUGCAAGUCGAGCGGCAGCGCGUCCGACCACCCUCGGGUGGUCGGAUGGCGGCGAGCGGCGGACGGGUGAGGAAUGCAUCGGAAUCUGCCUCGUUGUGGGGGAUAACGUAGCGAAAGUUGCGCUAAUACCGCAUAUUCUGUGAGCAGGAAAGCAGGGGACCGCAAGGCCUUGCGCUCUUUGAGCGGCCGAUGUCAGAUUAGCUAGUUGGCGGGGUAAAGGCCCACCAAGGCGACGAUCGAUAGCUGGUCUGAGAGGAUGAUCAGCCACACUGGAACUGAGACACGGUCCAGACUCCUACGGGAGGCAGCAGUAGGGAAUAUUGGACAAUGGGGCAACCCUGAUCCAGCCAUGCCGCGUGAGUGAAGAAGGCCCUCGGGUUGUAAAGCUCUUUUGUCCGGAAGAAAAGCAAUCGGUUAAUACCCGGUUGUUCUGACGGUACCGGAAGAAUAAGCACCGGCUAACUUCG
rnacentral:rRNA from 1 species